rnacentral:rRNA from 1 species
UACGUAGGGGGCAAGCGUUGUCCGGAUUUAUUGGGUGUAAAGAGCGUGUAGGCGGUCAGGUAGGUCCGUUGUGAAAACUCGAGGCUCAACCUCGAGACGCCGAUGGAAACCAUCUGACUAGAGUCCGGAAGAGGAGAGUGGAAUUCCUGGUGUAGCGGUGAAAUGCGCAGAUAUCAGGAAGAACACCCGUGGCUAAGGCGGCUCUCUAGUACGGUACUGACGCUGAGACGCGAAAGCGUGGGGAGCGAACAGG